UACGAAGGGGGCUAGCGUUGCUCGGAAUUACUGGGCGUAAAGCGCACGUAGGCGGCUUUCUAAGUCGGGGGUGAAAUCCUGGAGCUCAACUCCAGAACUGCCUUCGAUACUGGAGAGCUCGAGUCCGGGAGAGGUGAGUGGAACUGCGAGUGUAGAGGUGAAAUUCGUAGAUAUUCGCAAGAACACCAGUGGCGAAAGGCGGCUCACUGGCCCGAUACUGACGCUGAGGCACGAAAGCGUGGGGAGCAAACAGG
rnacentral:rRNA from 1 species